rnacentral:rRNA from 1 species
UACGUAGGGGGCGAACGUUGUCCGGAGUUACUGGGCGUAAAGCGCUUGUAGGCGGUCCACCAAGUUUGGGGUGACAGUUGCCGACUUAAUCGGCAAAGUGCCUCAAAGACUGGCGGACUUGAGGGCCACAGAGGGACAUGGAACUCCAGGUGUAGUGGUGAAAUGCGUAGAUAUCUGGAAGAACACCAAAGGCGAAGGCAGUGUCCUGGGUGGUCGCUGACGCUGAGAGGCGAAAGCCAGGGGAGCGAACGGG